rnacentral:rRNA from 1 species
GAACGAACGCUGGCGGCAGGCUUAACACAUGCAAGUCGAGCGCCCCGCAAGGGGAGCGGCAGACGGGUGAGUAACGCGUGGGAACGUACCCUUUACUACGGAAUAACGCAGGGAAACUUGUGCUAAUACCGUAUGUGCCCUUCGGGGGGAAAGAUUUAUCGGUAAGGGAUCGGCCCGCGUUGGAUUAGCUAGUUGGUGGGGUAAAGGCCUACCAAGGCGACGAUCCAUAGCUGGUCUGAGAGGAUGAUCAGCCACAUUGGGACUGAGACACGGCCCAAACUCCUACGGGAGGCAGCAGUGGGGAAUAUUGGACAAUGGGCGCAAGCCUGAUCCAGCCAUGCCGCGUGAGUGAUGAAGGCCCUAGGGUUGUAAAGCUCUUUCACCGGAGAAGAUAAUGACG